CGUACGGUGAGCGGAAGCAGAACACGCGCGUUUUGCUUUCAUACUGGCAGCGUUUGACGCGCGCGGCGUGUUUACAGACAGGCUACACUAUAAUGGUGCGAGUUGUUGAUAGAAGGAAGGCCAUUGCGCUGUAUUUGCUAUUACGAAGACUACGGAAAAGACGCAGACUUUGGGUUCACUCCAUGAACCGACGAAGGAGAGAAUAUGGUGCAUAUUACCAUCUUGUCGCCGAACUCCGUCUUGACCGUGACCGACACCUAAACUACUUAAGGAUGAAUGCAGAGCAAGUGGAUCACAUUCUUUCCCUGAUUGGAGGCCAACUAAAGGCAAACAACAAACUACAGGCAGUCCAUUGAACCCAAGCAGCGACUUGCAGUUACAUCUGCUUCUCUUAUUUAUGUGUGCUUACUGUGUGCAAAAUGUAAAUAAAUGCUUACAUUUGUUGUU